CCCAAAUCAUUCCCAGAAUAGUAAAAGUUUCAGUCAAAAUAAUAUGAGUUCCAUGAGAAAAUAAGAGAACGAAAUCAAGGCAAGCAAACGAAUCAACCAAGAAUGAAGUUGAAAAGUCAACAACAGUAACAGCUGUAACAGCUUUCAUAGCUCACAAGUUUUUAAUGCAUUUACAUGUUUAUAUUGUGAUCUUGUUUGUUUUCAUAUAUUUAGUGCCAUUUCUCAUCAUUUUUAGUUAAUUUCAAUUGUUAAAUACACCAAUAUUUAGUAAAACUCAUUUAUCAACUUUAUCACCAACACGAUAUUGGAACAAUCUGCAAUCACAUUUUUUCUGUACUAGGCUGAUGUAAACAUUGUCUCAUCUUUAGACUGGUUUCUUAAGAUAUUUGGUUGAUUAGCCUUCAAGUUUGUUAAAGCCAUUGAACCAAAUUUGAAUGUUUACUCGGACACUCAUUACCAACCAAUCAUCAGG